UUUUGGAGCAGAACAACAAGCUCGACAUCUGCCCACAUAAGUAGGCGUUACCUUGGUGCUGAAAUUUUGGGUGAACUUGAUAAAGCUUUUUCAUCACUGACUACAAGUACCGCAUCUAGUACAGAUAAAGGCGAGACAAGCUCGACUAGCGAUUUUCAAG